rnacentral:tRNA from 1 species
GUUUUAAUAAUUUAAAUAAAAUAUUGGUCUUGUAAAUCAAAAAUAAGGACGUAUCUUUUAAAACU